rnacentral:rRNA from 1 species
GGACGAACGCUGGCGGCGUGCCUAACACAUGCAAGUCGAACGGGGACUUAGUGGAAUGCGGCUUCGGCCAAAGGAAACUAAGUUUAGUGGCGAACGGGUGAGUAACGCGUGAGGAACCUGCCUUUCAGUGGGGGACAACAGUUGGAAACGACUGCUAAUACCGCAUAACAUAUUCGGACCGCAUGAUCUGAAUAUCAAAGCUUUAUGUGCUGAAAGAUGGCCUCGCGUCUGAUUAGAUAGUUGGUGGGGUAACGGCCCACCAAGUCGACGAUCAGUAGCCGGUCUGAGAGGAUGAACGGCCACAUUGGGACUGAGAUACGGCCCAGACUCCUACGGGAGGCAGCAGUGGGGAAUAUUGGGCAAUGGGGGAAACCCUGACCCAGCAACGCCGCGUGAAGGAAGAAGGCCCUCGGGUUGUAAACUUCUUUUAGCAGGGACGAAGGACGUGACGGUACCUGCAGAAAAAGCAACGGCUAACUACGUG